UACAGAGGUCCCAAGCGUUGUUCGGAUUCACUGGGCGUAAAGGGUGCGUAGGCGGCUUACUAAGUCAGGGGUGAAAUCCUGGCGCUCAACUCCAGAACUGCCUUUGAUACUGGUGAGCUUGAGUCCGGAAGAGGUGAGUGGAACUGCGAGUGUAGAGGUGAAAUUCGUAGAUAUUCGCAAGAACACCAGUGGCGAAGGCGGCUCACUGGUCCGGUACUGACGCUGAGGUGCGAAAGCGUGGGGAGCAAACAGG
rnacentral:rRNA from 1 species